UGAGACGUCGGCAAGUGGUAAGCCACCAGUUUUUGGUACUGGUAUUCCGCAGGUUCGAAUCCUGCCGUCUCAG
rnacentral:tRNA from 1 species